GACGAACGCUGGCGGCGUGCUUAGCACAUGCAAGUCGAACGGAAAGGCCCUGCUUGCAGGGUGCUCGAGUGGCGAACGGGUGAGUAACACGUGGGUGAUCCGCCCCUUACUUUGGGAUAAGCCUGGUAAACUGGGUCGAAUACUGGAGAGGACCGCGCUGGAGGUGGGGUGGUGGAAAGAUUGGUUUCGGUGAGGGAUGAGCUCUCGGCCGAUCAGCUUGUGGGUGGGGUAUUGUCCUACCAAGAGGUCGACGGGGAGCCGGCCUGAGAGGGUGGGCGGUGACAUAGGGACGGGGAUACGGCGCACAGUCGUACGGGGGACAGAAGUGGGGAGUAUUGCACACUGGGGGCGAGCCUGAGGCAGCGCAGCGGCGUGGGGGGUGACGGCCUUUGCGUUGUAAAAUCCGUUCGGCCAUGAGACAGACUGGGGGUGACGGUAGUGGUAGAAGAAGCACCGGCUAACUACGUG
rnacentral:rRNA from 1 species